rnacentral:misc_RNA from 1 species
UACGGAGGGGGCUAGCGUUAUUCGGAAUGACUGGGCGUAAAGAGCACGUAGGCGGUUUUUUAAGUUGGAAGUGAAAGACCAUGGCUUAACUAUGGAAACAUUUUCAAUACUGAAAAGCUAGAGGUUGGUAGAGGAUAGUGGAAUUUCUAGUGUAGAAGUGAAAUUCGUUGAUAUUAGAAGGACCUCCAGAAGCGAAGGCGACUAUCUGGGCCCAUAACUGACGCUGAGGUGCGAAAGCGUGGGGAGCAAACAGG